CGCAGACAGGGCAUCUGGGUAAGCCGCGUGGCUCACACAACCAUGAAAGACCGGGUUCGAUUCCCGGGCCUGCAACCA
rnacentral:tRNA from 1 species